AUCCAGUAAUCGAGCCAAUGUGUAUGGUUCCAGAGGAAGCACAUUAAAAUCUUAACAUCUGCCAACAAAUGACACAUUCCCUUGACAACACCGGAUCCGAUGGAACUGCAAAAUUUAUUUUGCAUUCAGUUGGUUUUACUAGUAUGUUUUCAGCUGAUAGUCCUUUUGCUUUAUAACCCCUAAAAAGUUAACUCCCUUACCCUUGAACAGUUUCUUUAUAGUAAUCCAGAAUGCCAGCGUUUCUGGAACAUAUCUUAUGGAGUAUAUUGUUGACUGGGAAUAAAACCUUCCGACAUCCAGUAACAAAUGAAAAGCAAUAUGUUCAAGAAAUAUUCCAUUAGAUAUGGAUUUCAAUACGGAAAUAAAGUCUUCGUAUCGUCC
rnacentral:lncRNA from 1 species